GGCAAACAAUAAUAAAUAAUUAAGGUGGUUUUCCCAGAGUGAGGCUCAUCCAUUGCACUUGGGAUGUGCUGACCCUGUGAUUUCCCCAAAUUUGGGAAACUUGA
rnacentral:snRNA from 1 species